UGUCACAUAUGCUGUGUUUAUAUACAAGUGUGGACUAAUACGAUGGACAAGAGAAAUAGCUGGUGUUGGUAUUAACAGUGGUGAUGGGUAUUAUAUCAUUCAUCCACUAGCUAAUACUUACAAUGUUACUAACAUAGACUGCUAUGAUGCAGUAUCUGAAUGGACUAAUAUUGUAUACAGACUAGAUCAAGUUAUAGAUAAGUUUGAGUUCCUAUCCAUUACACCUCACAGUAUCACAGUAUCAUGGAAUAUCAUCCCUAACAACAACAGUACACUUAUUCUGAGUAUUACUGAUUCACUUCAAACAGUUAAUGAAACAAUUAACGUUACUGAAUAUGACAAUGUAUACAAUUUUAUUACAAACCUCUUUUCUUGUAAUGUAUAUACCUUCAAACUAGCACUGCCCGUGUCAAGUGAAUGUAAUGACAGCAUUAGAAUCAUAUCAACAGCAUUGACACCAAAACCUGACAAUGUAUCUGCAUUAUAUCUAACCAAUGAAACAAUAAUCAUAAGA